rnacentral:rRNA from 1 species
AUACGGAGGGUGCAAGCGUUACUCGGAAUCACUGGGCGUAAAGGGUUCGUAGGCGGUUAUUUAAGUCAGAUGUGAAAGCCCCGGGCUCAACCUGGGAAUUGCAUCUGAUACUGGGUAACUAGAGUUUAAGAGAGGAGUGUGGAAUUUCCGGUGUAGCGGUGAAAUGCAUAGAGAUCGGAAGGAACAUCAGUGGCGAAGGCGGCACUCUGGCUUAAAACUGACGCUGAGGAACGAAAGCGUGGGUAGCAAACAGGAUUAGAAACCCCAGUAGUCC